UGAGACCGUAUUUUUUAAUUUCGUUCGCAGGGAAAGAAUAAAGCUUGGGCUCUAGCAACCCAUUUUUAGGCCUAAUUUUGGACCUAGCCCAUAAUUUCCAAGCCCAGAAUUCCUAGGCCCAUACCCCUUAACCUAAAAACCCUACAACUAUCUAGACCUAGACUCUACAAUAUAAGAAGGACCUAACGAAAAUCUGAGAAAAAAUAAUGCUGAAAACGGACUGGGAAAAGUUGCGCAACCUUUCACAAGAGCCCCACCCCCGUCAUCGUCUUCUUCGAACCACCCCACACCCAAACGACCCCCUGAACGUCUUCUUCUUCUUCAUGAAGAACAAAGAAAGAAGACAUCAGAACCGAACAGGGUGAGAAGUCAGUUGUUUCUCUUGGAUUUUUGGACUGAACCUAGAUACACAAACGACCCCUGAUAUCAUCUCCUUCACCCCCGCCAGCCACGCCGCCAGUCCGAUGGAAAACACAGUUCCCAUCCAUCGAGCAACCCAUCUUUUUCCUCAGCUGAAAGACCAGACCCUCAUGAGUUUCUUCUUCAUGAAGAUCUAACAAAAACCAGAGAACACAAAAAGAACCCUACGUGAGCUUGAGCCAUUUUUAACAGAGAAAGGACCUUUCAGCUUCUGUUUCUUCCCGUUAACAAAACUCGCCAAAAACCUUGAACACCAGCUGAUGUUCUCUUCGUCUUCCUCCUCCAGCAGCUCGCCUGAAAAACGAGCUCCAGCCGAAAACCAGAACACACCAUCAACAACCACCAACGAGUCCAGCCGUGAAUCCCGUUCGUGAAUCCCAGUUUACUGCCUUGCAAAAGUUUCUGAAGCAUCCCUUUCUUCUACUGGAUAGCAGUUGCUUUGAGUUUCGAUGUAGAGUUUUCCGGCGCCAAUUUGAGGUUCCGGUUCGUAGUUUUGGCAUUUCAGUCCGCCGAUCGUGGCUCUGUUUGGUAUGACGAGUGAUAUUGUAAAUCUCCAACUUUGUUUAUCAACAUAGAGCUAUUUUGAAUUCAUUUCUAGAUCCAUCAAGGACAAUGUGUUCUCUCAAGUGCAAACGUUUUGCUGCUUCUAACUCCUUGGAAUGGGAAACAAUUCAUUUUUUUUAUCUAAAAGAAAUCUGAGUGUUUUUGAAUCUAUUAAUUAAUUCAUAAAGUGGUUUCAUGGAAUUGAAGAAAUCAAACAGGGUUUCGUGGGCUAUUGGACUUAAUCUUUGUCAGCGUAAACAAUGAUUAAAGUGUGGGUUUGAAUCCGUGUUUGUUGAGUUUCCGGUGCUAAUUCGGAUUCCGUCUGCGGUUCGACACAAUUUGAGUGUUAACAUUGAAACAACUGAUUUUCCGGCUAUAUCGAGGUAUUUUCUUAUCCCCUUUGCUAACAAAUGAAGUGCCACAAGUUGGAGCCAGACUGAAUUUGUAUGCAGAUUUGGAUGUUCAAAUUGGAAUUCGAAUAGAAAUCUUGUUUAGAUAUUAGAUUCUAUUAGCUUCUGCUGUUUA